rnacentral:rRNA from 1 species
CGGCCACACUGGAACUGAGACACGGUCCAGACUCCUACGGGAGGCAGCAGUGGGGAAUCUUGCACAAUGGACGAAAGUCUGAUGCAGCAACGCCGCGUGGGGGAUGAAGCUUUUCGGAGUGUAAACCCCUUUCGACCCGGACGAAUGCCCGCAAGGGUUUGACGGUACGGGUAUAAGAAGCCCCGGCUAACUACGUGCCAGCAGCCGCGGUAAUACGUAGGGGGCCAGCGUUGCUCGGAAUUACUGGGCGUAAAGGGUCCGUAGGCGGUGUGGCAAGUCGGGAGUGAAAUCUCUAGGCUUAACCUAGAGGCUGCUUUCGAAACUGCCGUGCUAGAGUGUGAGAGAGGCGAGUGGAAUUACGGGUGUAGCGGUGAAAUGCGUAGAUAUCCGUAGGAACAUCCGAGGCGAAAGCGGCUCGCUGGAUCACAACUGACGCUGAGGGACGAAAGCUAGGGGAGCAAACAGGAUUAGAUACCCUGGUAGUCCUAGCCCUAAACCAUCAUGACUUGGGGUUUGCCCUGUACGGGGCAAGUCCCGUAGCUAACGCGUUAAGUCAUGCGCCUGGGGAGUACGGUCGCAAGACUG